rnacentral:lncRNA from 1 species
CCAUCGUCUGAGAUGUGGGGAGCGCCUUUGCCCCGCCGCCCCGUCUGGUAUGUGGGGAGCGCCUCUGCCCGGCCGCGACCCCGUCUGGGAGGUGAGGAGCGUCUCUGCCCAGCCGCCCCAUCUGAGAAGGGAGGAGACCCUCCACCUGGCAACCGCCCCGUCUGAGAAGGUCAGACUGAGCCCCCAAAAAGCCACCACUGGAGUAUGACCUGCAAGCAAAACUUCUCACCCAACACAGUCAUCAACAUCAUUCUGCCUUUUCCCUUAUCUGUGCAAUGGACACCAGAAUGGAAUCAAGUCUACUGAGGACAUUUACAUGUUUGGCUGGUGUGGUUGUGAAGAGUGAGUGGAGGGCAAUUUGAAAUUCUGAUUAAAUUAUUCGUCUUCUGGGAUUUUUUAGAGCAAAAUCAUAGGCAUGGGCAAACAUACAUGGGGCUAUCCCUCGAAGCAUGUUUCCAGGAGUAAAACUGGAAAUGGUCUGGAAUGUCGACAAAAAGAGAAUUGGUUAAAUAAGCAAUGGUAUUUUCAUUUUAUAUCAUUCUAUGGAAACAUUCAAAUUACUUGGUAGAAAACUGUGUCAUGCUAAUAGAAAUGCGUUCACUGUACAUUAAGUGAAAACACAGCAUGUUUAAAAAAUUAUGUUAUACAACAGAAUGCUAGUAAAGCACUUAGCACUUUGCCUGGCUCUGGAAGUGUUAGCUAUCAUCAUCUUUAAAAGCAUAAUCUCAGAUUUGAGAGAAGCAGUUAUAAUUAAUGAAAGAAAAGAAUAUAUUACAAUUUCAAGUGGUUAUCAAUGAGUAGAAGGAUCAUGGAUUUGUGUGUCUUUCUUUGUGAUUUUGAAUUUUGUGAAUUGUCGGUCAUGAACUAGUACUUUUACUCUAGAGUAACAAAAGAAUCUUACUGAAAGCUGCUAACUUGUCCUACCACCAUCAGGGUCUUAGACAAAGCCCUGUGCUGGGAAGCAGGAGAUGGACCAACCCUUCCCUGUACCUCUGAGCUAUGAGUUUAGGUAUUUCCCUUCAGCUCUCUAGGCUUUGUUUACCCUUUUGGGGAUAAUAGCUGACUUUUUAAGGUUAGGGGAUACUUGCUUAUGCUGACAUUUGGGAGAAUUUUCAUUCAUAAUAAUAAAGAUAGUUCCACAUCAUGAGCCCCUAGUAGAUGCCGCCGUAUAUCCAUGAUAUCCUCAGCAGUAUCUGAUGGGUGAGGAGACUUAGGUUUGGAGACAUGAAACGACUUACCCAAGGUGACACAGACAGAAAGUGACCACCCCAGGACUUGGACAGGUCUAUCCAACCCCAGGACCAGUCAACUGCCUUAACAGAGGAAACUGGCCCCAGGGGAUUUUUCUUGUAAUCCAGCUGAAGCAUGUGACUUCUAUCCAGGAUGGGCUAAAAAGAAAAGUGUGCGAUGGGGUAGGGUGGGAGUUUGGGGUUAUGGCUUUCCGGAGCCUGAGAGAGUGAGGCACAAGUGGAUCUAGUGUCCCCAAUCAACCCCAGACCUCAGCAUCCACACGUGGGAUAGAGGAGCAGCCCAGGGCUGGUCCUGGGUGAGAUUUCUGCCUCAGAGGGAGAGGUCCUCAUUGCUGGCCUUUGGUGAGGAAGCAUUCUCAUGAAAGCCACUUGACCCUGAGGGCUGGGAAGCUGAGGGCACUGAGUCGGUGUCUGGGGAGGGUGUGGAGUACACCUGGGCUCUUUCCAUGGGCUCUGUGAGUUGCUGCCAAGCCCAGGGGACAGGCUUAUGCAGAUGUGUUCUAGGUAAAGCUGAACCAUGCCCCCGAAAUCCUCGUCCCAGAAAAUUGUCUGGGUCAGGAUUCUCUAAAUCCAACCGAUAUCACCUCACCUCGCUUAAUUCUAGACCAUAAUACAAAAAGUGAGCCGAUGCCCCUGCUGCGGGGAGCUUGCGCUCACGAACAAGGUCCGUUUUGGGGAAAGGCCUCACUCCUAUGUCCCAGCUGGACAGUAGCACGGGAGCCCCAUCUAGCUAUCAGUUCUGGCAGCCUUCCUUUGGAUUACAAGCUUAGGACAACCGCAAUGCUUCCACCCUAUGCUUGGUGCGAAAGUUUUCAAAACAGAGAGAAAUAGGUCUCUGCGCUGUUUCUUUUCCCCUCCGGCACCCCUUCGGUGGGAGACAGUUGAUGUCUUUUUGAGGUGGGGCUGAGUGGGCCCUCCCUGCUCCUCAGCAGCUCCAGCGACCACCCUAGACGUGCUAGGGAGAUGACACCCUGAGCCCUGCUCAGAAGGGGGCACCACUUGCGAGUAGGCCCUGACCAACAGGAGAGAGAGCCUUUGCCCAGACCACGCCUGUGUGUCUCCCCCAAAUUCACAGAAAGAAAAGGACGCGCAGUCGCUUAGCGAUUACUAAGCCCAGACACAGGAGAGGGAAUCCUAGCCCUGCUCCUCCCCCAGUCCUUCGCAGUCUCUCCUUGUCUGUAAGGAGGUGUGGCCUGACGGCUUUACAUCUGACUCUAAAACUCACAGGUCAAGGAAAAACUCUGUGAUGUGCGGUGGGGCGAUUUGCCGGCAGCCGGCGGCAUCCUCGCCUCGGGCCUGUUUAGAACCCAGAGCUGGCCUUCUUCAUUUGACACCUGUCUCACGCAGAAGAGCCGGCGGGGCCACAAGGGAGCUCCUGGUACAGACUGCUCUAUAAAGCAUAGACACUCGGGGAGGGGAGGGGCGGCAAAUUCCCACCUACAGGAGAGGUGCGCUCUCCGGGUUUGGUCCUUCUCCACACCCACCCUUUCUGGGCCAUGCUCCAGUUAAAACCACAUGUAAAAGCACAGGCUGUGGUGGCCCGGCAGAGAGAUGGAGAAGGGGGCUGGUGACCUCCCUCCCAGAGCCCAUGGGCAGGCCACAGGUUCACCUGCCGGAGUCAGACUUCACGGGCUCUCUCCAGCCCAGAAGAAAGGAGUGCAAAGCAAAUCUGCCGUAGAAAUAUUCUUAAAGUUAAGUCCUCAAAGCAAAUUCAGAAUUCAUUAUUUUGGGUACAUGUAAAUAUGUAUUUGCUGCUUAACCUGUGGUUCAACCUUUGCACUUUUAUACAUUCUAAAAUUUUUUAGUUUAUGCAAAAAUCAGUGUAAUCAGGAUCCUGUAGAAAUGUAAUUAAAUUUUGUUAAGUUUACAAGGUUUUGUUUUUCUCAGAUCUAAACUUCCUGAGUCACACUCUGCAUUUGAGACUCAGAAUCCCCUGUUUCUAAAUGGCAUAUUUAGGUAAAUUGAAAAUAACGACAAUGCAUCUAUUCAACAUUAAGAAAUGCACAAUCUUUUUACAAAGCAAAAUUUGUCAUAUAUACCACAUAUGAAAUGUCACGAAACUCAGACAACUGUUUUGCUUUUAACUAAGCUGUUAUUACAGCGUGAGCUACAAAGCUAUAUAUCUUCAAUUCAGCAAGAGUUACAACACAGUGCAAUUGUGAUAUCUGACAAAUAAUUACUCACUCUGUUUUAAAUAUUAAAGUGCAUUACCUAUCACGCAAAUCACAUGAAUCUGAUUUUAAUCCACAAUUGAAAUCUUGACAUUGAGGACAGAAUUUAAUAUAUUUUCAGUCUUCAACUGUUUAAAGAUCAGAUUUCUAAGUGUCACAAUAGUUUUUUAAGAGGCCAUAUGAAAAUUACAGAAUCUUCACAUAAUCAUUCAGUUGUUAACAUUACUGUGAGCAGCAGCAUCUCAGGGCUCACACACAGCCACACCGGGGAGUUAAUGCGGUCUGCCUUUGUUAGAGGCACUGGGGCUCGCAUUGUGAGCAUCUCGUGCUGAGAUCACCUGCUGAGAUUAAAGCAAAUUAAAUUCCCUGGGAAAAGCGAUUUUUGAAAAAUUAUAUAGAAGGAAGACUACUGUAAACUGGUGUACAUUUUCCUCCUUCUCUCACUCAAAAGUCCAUGGGGGGCCGGGUGAGGUGGCUCAUGCCUGCGAUCCCAGCACUUUGGGAGGCUGAGGUGGUCAGGAGUUUGAGACCAGCCCGGCCAACAUGGUGAAACCUCAUCUCUACUAAAAAUGCAAAAAUUAGCCAGCCGUGGUGGUGCACAUCUAUAAUCCCAGCUACUUGGGAAGCUGAGGCAGGAGAAUUACUUAAACCUGGGAGAUGGAGGUUUCAGUGAGCCGAGAUUGCACUAAUGCACUCCAGCCUGGGCAGUAGAGCCCUAUUCCGUCUCAAAAACAAAACAAAACAAAACAAAACAAAACAACCUGUUUUUUUUUUUAAGUCCAUGGGGGUGAGGGAGGGAAAUGUAGAACAUGCACAAUUUCAAAGAUAAAAGUGCUUUAUUAGAAUCAAGAAAAUGUCCUCAUUGCAGAUGAUCUGGCAAGUAAGCCUGAAGGCAGCUGUGUUUGUGGUGACCGUCACCCUUUCAUCUGCUUCCGUGUCCACUGCUCCUGGAGGCAGAAACCUGACUAUUCCCACUUUUAUUGCAUUCCUCCUUCUCUGGUGCCAGCUCACCCACCAGUCCUGGACACUGAUGUUUUGUGACCGAUGGCACUGUUUCUAAUUCUAACCUCCCUCAGCUCCCCACUGCCCUGCCCCACGAGCUGUCACCCACCACUUGAUCUGAACCUGAGACCACUGCUAUCUCCAGGAACUCGCUUGGUGGAUGAGAAGCAAGUCUGCCUAGCACACUGGGUCCAGGUGACAGAGGCUUAAUCACAAGAAUGCGGACAAGCCGAUGAUGAAGUCUUUUUGUGGCAAACAUUGACAGGACCUUUCAAAUUUUCGAAAAGGAGUAAUGAAAAUCAAAAGCUCAAACUAAAACUGUCUUCUGUAGAGAGACUGAUAUGGGAAGGAAGUCCCUUCAGUGUGUGUCUGGAGAGACAGGGCGUGCCCUGUCCUGGUCCCCACCCUACAUACCUUGAUGAGCGUCUCCUCGGCUCACACUACCGUGACAAGCAGUGCACAGACGCGGAAUCCCAGCCUAGACCCGUGACCCAGGCGAAAAUAGGCACACGCCGGCCUGGAGCUCCACACAGCCUGGUUUUUGUCACUGGAAUGCUCCAUGGGGUUCUGUGAGUUGUUACAUUUUGCCUCACUUUCUGAAAAUGAUUUUUAUUUUAAAGGCGGAAGGAAAAAAAGCAUAUUAUUUUAAAAGGAUAGUGGUGAAUCUUCUGAAGUAAUAAUUCUUGCCCAAAGUGAUAAUCACUCCUGAUUUUUUUAGUUUUAUCGGUUUGAAAUCUCUAACAUUAGAUUUUCUUAAAUCGUGUUGUGGUGAAUAAUUUCAAGCUGGUAGACCAGCAAGGAGGACCAUGAGGCGGGGACCUGAGCUCUGAAAAUAGGACCUGUAGUUAUAGUAGUCUUCAUAAGAAAAUUAGUUUACAUCUAGAUCUUUACUGCCUACUGCAGUGUCUACCAGCCAUGUGUGCCUUCUUAAAUUAAAGUCACUUAAAACUAAAUAAUAUUCAGAAUUCAGUCCCUCAGUUGCACUAGUCACAGUUCAAAUGCUCAAUUGCCACAGUGAUCAAAUAAUAAUAAAUAAUAAUACAGUUGGUAGAGCUUUUUAAAUAAGUUACCAUCUAAAUUGGGCAGUUCUAUACUAAAUAUUUGCCAACUAACAUUAUAUAUUCCAAAAUAUGUACAGUAACAUUGAAAUUUUAAAACCUCCCUACUUAGUGAAUUGUGUACUUUUAAAACUAUAUAAAAACACAAGUUUGGAAUGAUUCAGUAGGUGUUUGUUUGGCGUGAUUCUCAUUAUUUUGUUUCAUAUCUCUUACAGAAAAAAGCAAGCUUGAUUUUCCAUAUCUUCAGUAGUUUCUCAUUGCCAAAAUCUAAAUGUGAACGCAUAGAUUAGAUGUCUGCACUAAUGUGUGUACACACACACACAACCACACACACAUUACUGAAGUACACUUGUAUUAGAUGUCACUUGCUGUAAGGAUUAUUAUUCUUGGACUUCAAGGUCAAUGAGUCAGCUGAUUGCUUUAUUGAAAUGGACUUUCCAAAUCCAUCACUUUCAGUGAUAUCUGUCAUCAAAUAUAAAGUGUAGGUCAUCUUCUUUAAAAAUCUUGCAAACUUGGCAGACUGGAAAAUAGCCAGUCUAUGUCUUUUCUCACUCAGUGAAACUAAGAAAGCAACUGCCUUCCAUUAAAAAAAAAAAAUCCUAUUUUUACUGAUUAGCUCACUUUAAGAAUUUCUUCAGAUUAUGUAUAAUUUCAGAUGUCUUCUAUGCUUUCUUUGAAAAAAAUAUUGUUUGAGACUCAUGAAAUAAUCUCGUAUCAAGAGGACCAGUGCCCCACUGGCCCAGUGGAGGGGGAGUGAGAUGGAAGUGGAGGUGGAGCCAUCCUCUGUCCACACCUUUUUUUUUUUUUUGAGACGGAGUCUGGGUCUGUCGCCCAGGCUGGAGUGCAGUGAUGCGAUCUCGGCUCACUGCAAGCUCUGCCUCCUGGGUUCACGCCAUUCUCCUGCCUCAGCCUCCCGAGUAGCUGGGACUACAGGCGCCCGCCACCACACCCGGCUAAUUUUUUGUAUUUUUAGUAGAGACGGGGUUUCACCAUGUUAGCCAGGAUGGUCUCUAUCUCCUGAUGUCGUGAUCCGCCCGCCUCAGCCUCCCAACGUGCUGGGAUUAUAGGCGUGAGCCACCGUGCCCGGCCUGUCCACACCUUUAAUGCAGUUGACUUAAGUUGUGUUCAGGUGUUUAAGCAGAAGCAAGGAAUCUGGCUCCAACAUUGGUGGAAAAUAGCCUUCUAUUUAGAGGCAAUACAACAAAGAAAUUCUGAGCAUCUAUGUCUUCCAGGAAUUGCAGUUGGUGUGAAUAUCAUGUAGUUGGGCCUCAGAGACAAACACCAGGUUAAUCCUCAAGGACAGACAGGAAGCAAGUGUGUCUAGUAGUAAAGAGGGAGGUUCUAGGCUUGGAUGGACCAGCCACUUAACAGGUGGGAUAUCGUGGCAUGUUACUUCAUCUUUCAAUCCCUAAUUUCCUCAUCUGUGAGAGGGAGAUAAUAAAAGUACCUAAAUGUCACUGUGUCAUUGUAAAGAUGAAAAGAAUUCACUUAUGUAAAACGCCUAUGACAGUGCCUGGAACAGCAAAUACUCAAUACAUUGUGCUGUUUGCUGUGACUUUUAAAUAUAGUGUCAUUACUUUUUGUCAUUCAUUUUAUUUUUUAAUUCUUUAUUGAUAAAAAUACAUGUACAUAUUUUAGGGAUGCAUGUGAUAAUUUCAUACAUUCAUAAAAUCAAAUCAUGGUAACUGGCAUAUCCAUCACCUAAACAUUUAUCUUUUCUUUAUGCUAGGAACACUUCAAGUAUUCUCUUCUAGUUAUUUUGAAAUGUACAACUGGUUAAUGUUAACUGUGGCAUCCUACUCAUCUGAACACCAGGUCUCAUUUCUUCCAUCUCACUGUAUAUUUGCACACAUUAAUCUAGUUGUGUCAUUAUUAUUUCCACAAGCUCAUCACUCUGCCAUGUGUGGAGUUUCCCUGCCCCUUCUCAAAAAUGCGAGAAAGACACACUGGUGAGGUCUGGCAAGGGCCACACACUUUGGCAGGAUAGAGACGGGUUCUGGACUUUUGCCUACCCCUCUUCAUAGCUUGCCAGAUAUGACAAAGAAUCACAAUGACUACUGUGUCUGUCAAAUUUUGUACUGAUAUGUUAGGCACAAAAACAUAAUACAAUCUGUAUUUAAAUGCAAUGGCUUCUGAAAUGCAACCUUGAUUAUUAAGCCAAUAAAUUGUUGAAGAGUUUUGGCCCAGACAUAGUGAAAGUGUGUUAAGCUCCAGGGAUGUGUACAACACAGGAUUAGGAGACACAAAAGAAGGGUUAUAAGAAUCACUCUCAAUUUGCAUGUGUGAACACUCUCCUUUUAAAUAGUAGAAUUAAUACUACCAAAUAUCAUCUUUGUGGAUGUGAAGAAUAAAUAAGUCAAUACACAUAAAGUCGUUAGCAUGGCCCCUGAAACAAAUUGAGUGCAGAGUGUUAGCCCUUAUAGUGAUAAUUAUUAUUCAACUAUAACAAGGAUUUCUUAUAGCCAGUAGUAAUUACAAAUUAUUCAAACUUAAGGCUGGGUGUGGUGGUGCGCACCUGUAGUCCCAGCUACUCGGGAAGCUGAGGCAGGAAAAUCGCUUGAACCCGGGAGGCGGAGGUUGUAGUAAGCCAAGAUUGUGCCACUGCACUCGACUCUGGGUGACAGCGAGACUCCAUCUGAAGAAGGAAAAAAAAAAGAAAAGAAAAAAAUUAUUCGAACCUAGAAAGCAAAUACUAGACAAAGCCUUUCACAUUUCAAGCUUUUCCUUGUCAGUGAAAAUCUGCCCAAGAACAAAGUUCUGGACAAGGAAUCACGACUCCAAGUUCAUGUUCUGGGUCUGCCGCUCCCUGGCUAAUGACUUUGCCCGGUCAGAGCUUGUCCGGGGCCUGGGCUUCCUGGUCAGUGAAGUGAAUGCUUGCAAAGUCCUUUCCAGCUUAAGAAUCUGGACGCUACCAGUACAUCUAACAGGUUUAUUUAAAAUGAAAAAUUCUGAGCAUGUUAUGUUUUAUGUUGAAAAGUACACAUAAAAUAGCUGACUUUUAAAAAUAAAUAUUUUUUAUUUAUGUAAAUCCAUGUCUAUACAACUGCAAACUUUUGAUCUCUAAGUUCUUUUUUGGAACACACGCUUUGAUGGAUUUCAAUAAACAUGAAUACAUUUUUUAAAAUCUUACAUUUAUAAAGUUUACAAAGCACCUAAAU